rnacentral:rRNA from 1 species
GACGAACGCUGGCGGCGUGCCUAAUACAUGCAAGUAGAACGCUGAAGGAGGAGCUUGCUUCUCUGGAUGAGUUGCGAACGGGUGAGUAACGCGUAGGUAACCUGCCUGGUAGCGGGGGAUAACUAUUGGAAACGAUAGCUAAUACCGCAUAAGAGUAGAUGUUGCAUGACAUUUGCUUAAAAGGUGCAAUUGCAUCACUACCAGAUGGACCUGCGUUGUAUUAGCUAGUUGGUGGGGUAACGGCUUACCAAGGCGACGAUACAUAGCCGACCUGAGAGGGUGGUCAGCCGCACUGAGAGUGAGACAGGGCACAGAGUGCUAGGGGAGGCAGCAGUAGGGAAUCUGCGGGAAGAGGCGGGAGUCUGACCGAGCAGGGCGGCGUGAGUGAGGAAGGUUGUCGGAUGGUAAAGCUCGGUUGUAGGGGAAGAACGAGUGUGAGAGUGGAAAGUUCAGACUGUGACGGUAUCUUACCAGAAAGGGACGGCUAACUACGUG